rnacentral:rRNA from 1 species
UGGGGAAUCUUGGACAAUGGGCGCAAGCCUGAUCCAGCCAUACCGCGUGAGUGAAGAAGGCCUUCGGGUUGUAAAGCUCUUUCAGACGGAAAGAAACGGUUACGGCUAAUACCCGUGACUAAUGACGGUACCGUAAGAAGAAGCACCGGCUAACUACGUGCCAGCAGCCGCGGUAAUACGUAGGGUGCGAGCGUUAAUCGGAAUUACUGGGCGUAAAGCGUGCGCAGGCGGUUUGGUAAGACAGAUGUGAAAUCCCCGGGCUUAACCUGGGAACUGCAUUUGUGACUGCCAGACUAGAGUGUAGCAGAGGGGGGUAGAAUUCCACGUGUAGCAGUGAAAUGCGUAGAUAUGUGGAGGAAUACCGAUGGCGAAGGCAGCCCCCUGGGCUAACACUGACGCUCAUGCACGAAAGCGUGGGGAGCAAACAGGAUUAGAUACCCUCGUAGUCCCUGAGCGGGCUGGCAAGGCGCAU